rnacentral:rRNA from 1 species
AAUAGAUACCCUGGUAGUCCAUGCCGUAAACGAUGUCUACUAGCCGUUGGGGCCCUUGAGGCUUUAGUGGCGCAGCUAACGCGAUAAGUAGACCGCCUGGGGAGUACGGUCGCAAGACUAAAACUCAAAUGAAUUGACAGGGGCCCGCACAAGCGGUGGAGCAUGUGGUUUAAUUCGAUGCAACGCGAAGAACCUUACCUGGCCUUGACAUACAGAGAACUUUCCAGAGAUGGAUUGGUGCCUUCGGGAACUCUGAUACAGGUGCUGCAUGGCUGUCGUCAGCUCGUGUCGUGAGAUGUUGGGUUAAGUCCCGCAACGAGCGCAACCCUUUUCCUUAUUUGCCAGCACUUCGGGUGGGAACUUUAAGGAUACUGCCAGUGACAAACUGGAGGAAGGCGGGGACGACGUCAAGUCAUCAUGGCCCUUACGGCCAGGGCUACACACGUGCUACAAUGGUCGGUACAAAGGGUUGCUACUGCGCGAGCAGAUGCUAAUCUCAAAAAGCCGAUCGUAGUCCGGAUCGC